GGGCGAGCGGGGCGGGGCCCGGGGGCAAGAUGGCGGCCUCGCGGCGAGGUCGCAGAUGUGUGAGCAGAGGAAAACACCCGUGGAACUCCGAGCCAGGGCACGCCGGGGCCAAGGGUGACUGGACUGUCUUCCAAGCAGGCCUCCGGCUCAGAAGACGCUGUCGCGGGAGGAGGGACCCCGCUGCCUCUGGGGCACCCUCAUCUCAAGAUGACGGGAGAGUGGGUACCUGUUGUGGGUAGGAGAGGCUCCAAGAGGCGCACGAGGAAAAGAGACUGGAUUGCUGGCUCGGAAGUUCUCACUUGGGAGACAUACUUGGGGACAUGCAUAAAAUCUCAGAAGAAACCAAGUGUCUGUUAUCAGUGACAAAGACUUCUUUUCAUCUGCACAUGUGGCAAAUACGCAGAAGCCACAGGAGAUGAGCUGCAUCUCCUUCCCUGACAGUGGAGUGGAUCUAAGCUUUGCCUCGUGGGUACACCCUGCCUCCAGGCCUCAGGUUCAGAGAGGCAGGUGGCCAGCCUCUCCUUGGAGGGACCGGUGCAGAAGUGCUGGAAAGGAACGAAGCUGCAGGCCCUAAACACCCAGUGAAGGAGUUCCCGCUGUGCCACAGCAGGGAGAACUUCUGCCACGGUGGUAUCCUGCUGCUGCCGCCCUCGUUCAGCCAAAGACCAGGCCAGGCGACGUCGGCCCUCAGCUCCCGCUUUUUGCUCCUUUGAUCCCCUGCCCCCAGCCCUGCCUUUGGAGUUGAAGUAGGAACCCCACUUCUAAGUGGGAGGGAGGGCUGCUCCCUGCCCCACCGUUCCAGAGUCACUGUGGCUCCCCCAGUGGCGCCUUGGCUCCCUCGCCCUCCUGCACGGUCCCGCCACGGGGUGGGGGGUGGAGGAUGCAAACCCCUCACGGGAGGAUCUAGAGACCCCUUGUAGCUCAGGAAGGCUGCUGGUGGAUGUGUAACUGCCGCCCCUCCCCCCAAAGAGAGAAUGGUAUUUUCCUUAAAGAAAAUGAAAAAAGCGGCUUUUCUUUUUUUUUUUUCCUUUUGGCCAUGCCUGUGGCUUCCACAAGUUCCAGGCCCAGGGAUGGAACCCAAGCCUCAGCAGCAACACCACCAGGUCCUUAGCCCAGUGCACCCCUUGGGAACUCCAAAAAGCCGCUUUUUUCUCUCCAUGGUCAUAACUGGGACCGGUUGAGGCGUGCCCCUGUGGAAGCCAGCGAGCUGGGGCUGUGCUCGAAGCCAGGACACCCCCUGGGGGGAGCCAGCCCCGGAGCCUGACCUGUGUGUCCGCAUGGCCUGUUGUCCGGCCCCAAGGUGGGCCCCUGGGCAGGGUUGUCAGCUGGGCUAGAGUCCUUAACUGCCGGCCAGCUCUCGUCGCUCCCUCUGCAGGCGCUGCUCCAUCUGAGUGGGGCGUGUUACUCUCUUUACUUCCUGGCCACGCUCCUGCUGAUCGCGUAUAAAAGUAAGUCACGCUCGAAAAGCCAGCUCGGGGUGCGGGUGCCCUGCCUCCCGUGACGGGAGCUCGGUCUCCCAUUGUUCUCAGGCCAAGUUUUCACCUAUCCUCACGGCUUCCUGGUCCUUGACCUGACUCUGCUCUUCCUGAUGGGGAUUCUGGAAGCAACGCGGCUGUACCUCGGUGAGUUCUCUGAAAAGCACGUGGCACUUGGAGCGACAGGAUCGCCAGCUUUACGUGUGAACCUUUAAGCAUCUGUCACUUGGAACACGGUUCUUAGAAACACGUGAUGUAGCCUCGCCUCACAGGGUCUUUCCGUCUGUUUGUCCCUCUUUGUCCACAAGACAGUCUCGGCAGCAUCCUUGGCGGAGGUGCUUCCCGUGUGUACAUGCUGCCGGGUAACGGGCAGCACCAAGACUAGACCGCAGCUCCGCCAUCAACUCUGGAGCCCCCAGAGAGUCACCUCACUCCUCCUGCCUCUUCUGUUGGCCGCAGGGUCAAGAGGAGAAGGAUCUGGGGAGGCCCCAUCGUGGCGCAGACACAAACCCCAUUAGGGAUCCAUGAGGAUGAGGGUUCGAUCCCUGUCCUCGCUCAGUGGGUUAAGGAUCCGGCGUUGCCAUGAGCUGCGGUGUAGGUCGCAGACGCGGCUCAGACCCCACGUGGCUGUGGCUGUGGUGUAGGCCGGCGGCUGCAGCUCCGAUUGGACCCCUGGCCUGGGAACCUCCCUCUGCCGGGGGUGCGCUUAGAAAAAAUCAGGAAUGUUACAGCCUCAGUACAGACAACACGCUCCUCCUUGCAUUUGCCUUCUGACACGCUCAGAGCCCGCGCGGUGGCCACAGCAGCUUUUCCGUGGAAGUCCUCGAGUGUCGUGGGGUGCUAGUGAGCUGGCCCUGGUCCCCCGGUCAAGUCUCCAGAGCCCUCGCCAGCACAGGCUCCCAAAGGCAGCACUCACCCGUCCUGUCUGUUCUCUCCAGGCACCAAGGGCAACCUGACGGAGGCCGAGGUGCCGCUGGCCGCCAGCCUGGUCCUGACUGUGGGCGGCACCCUGCUGGCCAUCUACUUCCUGCUCUGGCAGACCCUGGUGCUGCGGGCAGACUGGGUCCUUGGCGCCACGCUCCUGGUGCUCCAUGGCCUGGAGGCCGUCCUGCAGGUGGUGGCCAUCGCCGGCUUUGUCAGCUAGGCCCCUGCGGCAGCCCCGGCCAGGAGCCCUUCCUGAGGGUGAGACGGCCUGCCAGCCGUUGCCCAGGGGGAGGGCGUCCUUCUGCUGAUGCGCCAUGACCUUGGAGGGCCUGGCGGCUUGGGUGAUCUCUGAGUCCUUGAGGCGGAGAUGGGCUCAGGAGCCAGGGCAGAGCAAAAUGCUGGGGCAGGCGGGGGCCCAGCGGAAGCCGGGACUGCCCGGGCGUCCUCCUCAGGAAGCGCAGGCCCCGCUUGGCUGGCAGGACCUCCAUUCAGCAACCGCCCUGCCCCCUGGGCCGGAAGGCAGCGAGGGGCCGGGGACGAGCCCCGGGCAGACGCUGCUCUGCCUCUUCCACGAGAGAGUAAUGCCAGAGAGCCAGGGCUUCUUCCCCCCCGGGGACACAGGAAAGGCGAGCUUGAAGCGCCAGUGCCCAGGGGACAGAGCGCCUCCCUCAGCAGGACGUUGGCCCUGGGCACCGGGGACUUCGCCAGGGGGACCUUUGCCCACUCACAGACCCACUCCAGUGCCUCUGGAAGAAACCUGAGCUGAUGUUUUCUGGCAACUUUCAUUUGUUUCAGUUGUACAUUUUCUGUGUUUGGAAUAAUACCGUGUUUGAAUAUCUAGACAUUUUCUCUUCACUGUAGUUUUUAAAUAAAGCGUUUAUCCUUCCC
rnacentral:lncRNA from 1 species